rnacentral:rRNA from 1 species
UACGAGGGGGGCUAGCGUUGUUCGGAAUUACUGGGCUUAAAGCGCGCGCAGGCGGUCUUCCAAGUCAGUGGUGAAAGCCCGGAGCUCAACUCCGGAACUGCCAUUGAAACUGUAAGACUUGAGGAUGAGAGAGGUGAGUGGAAUUCCUGGUGUAGCGGUGAAAUGCGCAGAUAUCAGGAAGAACACCAAUGGCGAAGGCAGCUCUCUGGGACGGUACUGACGCUGAGACGCGAAAGCGUGGGGAGCGAACAGG